rnacentral:rRNA from 1 species
AGUGAACGCUGGCGGCAUGCCUAACACAUGCAAGUCGAACGAGCUUUGGCCGUUUAUCGUCAGAGCUAGUGGCAAACGGGUGAGUAAUACGUGGACAAUCUUCCCUCGAGCGGGGGAUAACUCCGGGAAACCGGAGCUAAUACCGCGUGAGACCACGUCCUGGCAUCAGGAUGAGGUUAAAGCUCCGCAAGGGGCGCUUGAGGAGGGGUUCACGGCCUAUCAGCUAGUUGGCGGGGUUAAAGCCCACCAA